GGUGUUCUCGAACUCAAAAAAACCUAGCCCGCCCCACAACUCUCCCGACAGCCUGACCCACCUGCCCACCUUCUCCCCACGACCUUCCCAGGAUCCAUCCCACGGCCUUCCACCGAUCCCGCCGCGGCCUCGUCCCGGCGCACCGCCCCCGCUCCCGCCUCCUUCCGACGUGUCGCCGUCCCUGCCUUCUUCGCUGUGCCGCCGCCCCUCCCCCCGCGGGCACCUUCCGCACCCGCGUCCACCUUCAUCCGCCACCCGCGUCGACUGCCCCCGCCCCCGAAACCGGUCGACGCGCCGCCUCCGCCCGUGGAUCCGGCCAGGGUGCCUCCUCCUCCUCGGCCGCUGCGCUGCUUCCACCCCCCGUAUCCGGCCUCCACGACGCCUCCUACCCUAGAUCUGCCUGCGGGACAGCUCCCGUCGUGCACACCUCCCCAAACCACCUUCCACCAUGCGCGCCCUUCCCGGAAAUCUUGCUGCCGCGCGCGCCUUCCCUGGAUCCCCCGCCUAGCCGGAUCCCGCUUCAGCCGUCGCAAGCCUCCACGGAUCCCGUCGGCGCCCUCCCUUCGGCGUGCCCCUGGAUCCCGCCGUCACAUCCUGCCGGCAUGCCCCUGUCCCCCCACUGCUGCUAGCCACCGCGGCGCACACCAGAUUCGUCCGCCGCCAUGGACAGCCACCUGCUAGGCGAAUCACCAGCAUCUUCGUACUAGGAAAAAAACUCUAGCAGUGUUCAGUUAUUCUGAUUUCUUUCAGCAGUUCAAUGUAUGUUACACAAGAAGAAGAAACUAACAGUAGGUCAAACAGAGUUCUCGUGGUAGGUCAAACAAAGAUGUCUGUGGAGCCGUCUCUGCUAGUCGACAUCCCCAUCUACCACACAUUAUGUUCCUGUUAUCGCCACAAAAACAUAGCACAACAAGACUAAAGUGCUAGUCGUCCACCUCCUCGAGCACCUCGUUGCUUCCUCUUUGCUUUUUGAGAAAUCUACACGAACCCUAUAUUGUGCCAUACUUCUACUAAAUUUAUUGUCCAUCGUGUUCCUGCAGCCUCUCACUCAUAUUCGUGUAUCUCAUUUCAUAGCUUGGAUUUUGUAACUUG